CAGGCCUCCCUUGAAAUGCAAGUUGUGAAAUGUCAACAUAAUUAGGAAAAUGCAAACACAGGAGCAUUUGCUUAUGGGAACUAAUGGUUUUUAAUGGAGACAGUCCUUGGGGAACACGAGAUCAAGGGGAGAGAGAUCAGGAUGAAGAAGUAAGAAUGGAAUAACUUGGAGUCAGG